AUGGACUUAGCUUAGUUGGUUUGAGCAUCAGUUUGUGGAAUUGAAGGUCGCGGGUUCGAACCCCGUCGUCCAUC
rnacentral:tRNA from 1 species